rnacentral:tRNA from 2 species
AGAAAGGUAAGCUAAAUUAAGCUACCAGGUUCAUACCCUGUUUAUAGAGAUAACCCUCUCCUCUCUA